rnacentral:rRNA from 1 species
CUUUCUCCGCCGGCGACCGGCGCACGGGUGAGUAACACGUAUGCAACCUGCCCCUGUCAGGGGGACAACCCGCCGAAAGGCGGGCUAAACCCGCGUANAUGCCACCGGGGCAUCCCGGAGGCAGGAAAGGCCUUCGGCCGGACAGGGAUGGGCAUGCGGCGCAUUAGGCAGUAGGCGGGGUAACGGCCCACCUAACCGACGAUGCGUAGGGGUUCUGAGAGGAAGGUCCCCCACACUGGUACUGAGACACGGACCAGACUCCUACGGAAGGCAGCAG